CAUCUCCUGCAUCGGCAGGUGGAAAGUCAGACACACUCAGUGACUAAACCACCACCAGCCACACCCGAGGGAAGUGCUGGCGCUGUGAGCAGUGAGUGACUGGGAGACCAAGGUUGGGGCGCUGCUCGGCCAGGAAGGCUUCCUGGAAAAGAGAUGAGGGAGGUUUAAAAAACAAACAAAACAGACAAGGGGAAGAUGGAACAUCUCAGCUGAGGAAACAGAAUCAUAAAACUCUAGCCAGGUGAUACAUUUCCCCUGGAGAACAACGGAGAAGACACCUGUAGGGCAGAUCAGGGUCUGGCCGCAGAGACUCAAGAACCGGAUUGUGAAAAGCAAGAAGCUGUGGCCGUGACAGAGGCUCGAGCGAGAUUCAGCCCCAAGCCAGGAGCUGAUGACAGCGGGAUUCAGAGGAAGGGAACGGUGCCCAGUCAAGGUGAUCAAGUAUGAAAAUCCAGCCAUCUUCGGGCCUCCUUCCCUGGAUUUCCAAAAAAGGUUCACGAUGCAAAUGUGGUGACAUGCCCUGGAACGCCAGAGAAACCAGGGCCACGGGAAGCCUGCGCUUCCUUCAGAGGCCAGCACUGGCGAGCCCCACAUCGGGAGAAGGCGCCGCCUCCCAGCACCCUGUCCCCGCCGGCGCUCACGCACCUACCAGCGGACCGUGGGGAG